AACGAACGCUGGCGGCAUGCCUAACACUUGCAAGUCGAACGAGACCUUCGGGUCUAGUGGCGCACGGGUGCGUAACGCGUGGGAACCUGCCCUUAGGUUCGGAAUAACUCCCCGAAAGGGGUGCUAAUACCGGAUAAUGUCUUCGGACCAAAGAUUUAUCGCCUUUGGAUGGGCCCGCGUUGGAUUAGCUAGUUGGUAGGGUAAAAGCCUACCAAGGCGACGAUCCAUAGCUGGUCUGAGAGGAUGAUCAGCCACACUGGGACUGAGACACGGCCCAGACUCCUACGGGAGGCAGCAGUGGGGAAUAUUGGACAAUGGGCGAAAGCCUGAUCCAGCAAUGCCGCGUGAGUGAUGAAGGCCUUAGGGUUGUAAAGCUCUUUUACCCGGGAUGAUAAUGACAGGACCGGGAGAAUAAGCUCCGGCUAACUCCG
rnacentral:rRNA from 1 species